rnacentral:rRNA from 1 species
UUAUACAAUAAAUACUAGUUAAUAUUUUUGGUUUGAUUGUAGAUAAUUUAUAUUUUGAAUAUAUUAAUUAUAUUUUUGGGUGGAAUUUUAAUAUUUGUUAAUUUUGUUUUUAUUUUUUACUAAAUUUGAAUUAUAAACUAGGAUUAGAUACCCUAUUAUUUUAAAUGUUAAAUUUUGCCAGGGUAGUAUUAGUUAUUUUCUUUAAACCCAAAGAAUUUGGCGGUGUUUUAGUCUAUUUAGAGGAACUUGCCCCUUAAUCGAUAAUCCUCGUUUUAUCUUGCUUUAUAUUUGUAGUCAGUAAUGUAUACCUCCGUUAUAAGUUUAUGUUAAUAGAUUAAUAAUUUACUGUUUACUUUAGAAGGUUAUAUUUCA